rnacentral:rRNA from 1 species
GAUGAACGCUGGCGGCGUGCCUAAUACAUGCAAGUCGAGCGAACAGACGAGGAGCUUGCUCCUUCGACGUUAGCGGCGGACGGGUGAGUAACACGUAGGUAACCUACCUAUAAGACUGGGAUAACUUCGGGAAACCGGAGCUAAUACCGGAUAAUAUUUCGAACCGCAUGGUUCGAUAGUGAAAGAUGGCUUUGCUAUCACUUAUAGAUGGACCUGCGCCGUAUUAGCUAGUUGGUAAGGUAACAGCUUACCAAGGCAACGAUACGUAGCCGACCUGAGAGGGUGAUCGGCCACACUGGAACUGAGACACGGUCCAGACUCCUACGGGAGGCAGCAGUAGGGAAUCUUCCGCAAUGGGCGAAAGCCUGACGGAGCAACGCCGCGUGAGUGAUGAAGGUCUUCGGAUCGUAAAACUCUGUUAUUAGGGAAGAACAAACGUGUAAGUAACUGUGCACGUCUUGACGGUACCUAAUCAGAAAGCCACGGCUAACUACGUG